rnacentral:rRNA from 1 species
UUGGAGGGCAAGUCUGGUGCCAGCAGCCGCGGUAAUUCCAGCUCCAAUAGCGUAUAUUAAAGUUGUUGCAGUUAAAAAGCUCGUAGUUGAAUUUCGGGAUUCUAUCGUUGGUCGGACUAACAAGUCUGUACUGGUGUGUAGAAUUUCUACCUUCUGGGGAACUAACAUGUUAUUAAUUUAGCGUGGUGGGAAACCAGGACCUUUACCUUGAAAAAAUUAGAGUGUUCAAAGCAGGCUUACGUCUGAAUACAUUAGCAUGGAAUAAUAGAAUAGGACGGUGGUCCUGUUUUGUUGGUUUCUGAAUCACCGUAAUGAUUAAUAGGGAUAGUUGGGGGCAUUAGUAUUCAAUUGUCAGAGGUGAAAUUCUUGGAUUUAUUGAAGACUAACUUCUGCGAAAGCAUUUGCCAAGGAUGUUUCCAUUAAUCAAGAACGAAAGUUAGGGGAUCGGAGACGAUCAGAUACCGUCGUAGUCUUAACCAUAAACUAUGCCGACUAGGGAUCGGACGAUGUUAAAUUUUAUUGACUCGUUCGGCGCCUUACGGGAAAC